AAAUUCACGCAAGGGAGCUACACCAUAAUGUGGCUGAGAAGAACGGAUUAGGCCGUCAAACCUUUUAAACUUGAUCCAGGUAAUGCUGGCGUAAGGAGAAUCUGAUGAAAAUAC
rnacentral:ncRNA from 2 species